ACGUGUGGUCAUGUACCAUUUAUUGCAUGCUGAUGUUUCCUUGUUCCGGUUUGAAACAUUGUCCGCAGAAAUCUCAAUUAGAUUCUUUCAUUAAUUUACAUUACCUUCAAUGGAGUUCUUUUUCCAACAAGAAGGAAGUGAUAAAGACGGUAAUCCACUUCCUAUCUGAUUUUUCAGAUCAUCCUAUUCGCUCUCACCUU
rnacentral:lncRNA from 1 species